rnacentral:misc_RNA from 1 species
GAUGAAGAACGCAGUGAAAUGCGAUAAGUAAUGCGAAUUGCAGAAUUCAGUGAGUCAUCGAAUCUUUGAACGCACAUUGCGCCCUGUGGUAUUCCGCAGGGCAUGCCUGUUCGAGCGUCAUUUCAACCCUCAAGCUCUGCUUGGUGUUGGGCCCUGCCCGCUCGCGGCCGGCCCUAAAGACAGUGGCGGUGCCGUCUGGCUCUAAGCGUAGUACAUCUCUCGCUCUGGUGCCCGGCGGUGUCCUGCCAGAACCCCCCACCUCUGUGGUUGACCUCGGAUCAGGUAGGGAUACCCGCUGAACUUAAGCAUAUCAAUAAGCGGAGGA